ACCAUGGUGGCGCAGUGGAUAGCGCUGUUGCCUCUCAGCAAGAAGGUCAAGGGUUUGAAUCUGGCCCGGGGUC